rnacentral:lncRNA from 1 species
GGGAGCCGCGGAGGCAUCAGAGUCCUCUCUGGGUUCCUCACACCUCCCACUGCCCCCUUUUUAUUUGGAAAACUAGCAAAUGAGGAUUUCCUCGAUCCACACAUCCUUAUCACCUGCCCUCCCAAUAUCUCGAUAUAGUCAGACCACAUUUUGAGUACCUUCAAUUGCUGGAUUACUUCGUAACUUUAAGAAGUGUGAAGUCUUGAAGGAGGAGGCGGCCAACUAUUAUGUUUUUGAGGACGUCCUUAAUCUUUCUUUAAACUGCUCCUGGCGUCUGAAUGUGUGAAGAUGGUGUUGUCUAAUAUGUACCAACUGCUUUCAUUUUGGGGUGAAUACUGCAAAAGUAAAGUGAAAUAAGGGACUGAGCUGAACUGCCAGCACGUGCUUACCGUGUUCCUUCCUUUAUGACUGGCUGCUGUUCACUGCUGACCGACACCUGCCGAACCACAGCGCCUUCUUCUCACGGGAGAGUCUUCUGAUGUGGGAAGCUGGUCCGGUUGUCCUUCUGGCGCCCUGGUGGUGAGCCUGGUGAGUGCGUCGUCAGAAUCUGGCAGGAAUGGCAGUGCAAUCUGUGCUCAGUGAUGGA